AUUGAACGCUGGCGGCAGGCCUAACACAUGCAAGUCGAGCGGAGCGGCGGACGGGUGAGUAAUGCCUAGGAAUCUGCCUGGUAGUGGGGGAUAACGUCCGGAAACGGGCGCUAAUACCGCAUACUAUCAGAUGAGCCUAGGUCGGAUUAGCUAGUUGGGGGGGUCAAGGCCUACCAAGUCGACCAUCCGUAGCUGGGCUGAGAGGCUGAUCAGCAACACUGGGACUGAGACACGGUCCAGAAUCCGACGGGAGGCAGCAGUGGGGAAUAUUGAGCAAGGGGCGAAAGCCUGAGCCAGCCAUGCCGCGUGUGUGAAGAAGGUCUUCGGAUUGUAAAGCACUGUAAGUUGGGAGGCGUUACCAACAGAAUAAGCACCGGCUAACUUCGUGCCAGCAGCCGCGGUAAUUC
rnacentral:rRNA from 1 species